AUGGAGGCGGCCACGUUGAAGCCGCGCGCGUCGGUGAGGACGCGGGUGAUGUUCACCGCCGGGGACGGGCGGGUCUCGGAGCCCGACGCGGCGAUGUCGAAGCCGGAGGGCACGAUGAGGCCGCCCACGGCCAGCACGCUGAGGUUGUACGGCUCCCUGGUCACGGCGCCGAGGACGGUGGCGUUCGACCCCGGGGACGGGGACGGCGAGCGGACGACGACGGCGGAGCCCGCGGCAGUGGCCGUGAGGUUGACGGCGCCGAGGUCGGAGGGCGCGCGGCCGGUGGUCUGGAAGAGCGUGGUGACGAGCCUGCCCGAGGCGGGGACGCGGGCGAGGUCGGGCGGGGAGAGGUACUCGAGGAGGACGUGGUAG
rnacentral:rRNA from 1 species